UACGGAGGGUGCGAGCGUUGUCCGGAAUCACUGGGCGUAAAGGGCGCGUAGGCGGCUGGGGAAGUCGGCGGUGAAAGCCCGGAGCUCAACUCCGGGUCGGCCGUCGAGACUCCUCGGCUCGAGCUCACUAGAGGCAGAUGGAAUUCCGGGUGUAGCGGUGGAAUGCGUAGAGAUCCGGAAGAACACCGGUGGCGAAGGCGGGUUGCUGGAGCCGGGCCGACGCUGAGACGCGAAAGCGCGGGGAGCGAACGGG
rnacentral:rRNA from 1 species